ensembl:snoRNA SNORA74 Small nucleolar RNA SNORA74
UCCAGUGGUGGUCAGCUGUCUGUGUCAGAACUGUGUCUUUGACAGUGUUACACUGCUGGGAGAGAAAGAUACUGUGUAUUUAGCUGUCUGUCAUUUUCUCCGUUCUGGAGGUACCUGACACCAGUGUUAACAGUAUUGUGCUUUUCUGAGAGUGUGUUGAGCAGACAACCUCCUGGUCAGCACUAGUCUGAAAGCAUACACA